UUUGGAUCUCCCCUGCGAUCCACCGUUGCCCAACCCUACGUCGCGAUGCCGCGCCUCUGCCCUUGGGCCGAGCCGCCACCGGGCGCGUGGCCGUUCGCUUCCCCACCGCCUCCCCUCCUCCGCCUUCUCCUUCAAAGCCCGCCGAGACCGUCGCAGCUCGCCAAAAAUCAACUGCCAUUGCCCUUCGCGACCGCGCCCCAUGCCGCGGGAACCCCCCACCUCAACGCGGAGCCGCCGCCGCCAAGCGCGCCGCAGAUCCGCUAUCUCCCUGCGCGCGCGACUCCUGCCUUGGUGCCGCCGUCGCGGAUCCUCGACCUCCCCAUCCCGACUCCCGUAGCGGCUGCGGAGCCACCGCCGCCACGGCCAACGCGCGGCCCCAUCCUACCGUGGAGCCGCCGCCGCCGCCUGACUCACGCCGCGGGUGACGGUUCCCCUGCCCCAUCGUGGCAUCGACGCCGCACUCCCCUCGCGCGGAGCUGCCUCCGCCCUGUCACCUGGUCACCCGGAGUGUCGCGCGGAGGGAGGGGGUGCACGUCGUCCUCGAUCCCGUCGACGCCGCCCUCACGUAGCGCGGAGCCGCCGCCAUCCAUCGACCCAUCGCCCGAACACGCCGCCGCCGCCCUCACGUAGCGCCGAGCCACCGCCAUCCAUCGACCCAUCACGCGAACACGCCGCCGCCACCAUCCAUCGUCCCAUCGCACGAACACGCCAGAUCCGCUGCUGUUCAUUGUCCCCGUCGCACGAACAUGCCGAGCGGAGGGCUCGCCCGUCGACCGGUUGUGUCGUCCCCUACCCCCUAUCUUUUCCACAACGAGAUGAAUCUGCCUGCAAUCUUGCUUUCUGGCUCCAUUUUAAUUCUUCAAUCUGCAGCAUUUCUCGACAUCAAUGGGCCCUCACCAACGAAUCCCUCCUCGGCAAGUUCCGUCUGACCUUUCUUGAUCUCUGGAGGGUUCUUACAGGCAGGCACCCAUGUAGAAACCAUGGCUGCCUGUGCAUUUGUGCAGGCACCCACGCCACGAAGCCCUGGCUGCCAUGAAGGAUUCAGAACGCAGAGGCAAAUUAGGUAUCCAGGUUGGUCAGGGCAAGGGCAUGGCAAGGGGAAGAAAGGGGAAGAAUGGAGAGGAAGAAAAUAUCACUAUCUAUACUGAAGCAAAAUAAUUUCUGUCAUUUUAGGUUGGCUUAGGAUGGAAAAUUAGGGGUAAUUUGAUCUAAAAGCAUUUCUAUUUACAAGGAUGGCUGCAAUGCAGUAUUUUAAGACAGCAGUUCUGAUGGAUUUUUGGUCAAACAUUUAAUGGUAUUACAUGGUAUAAUAAUACUCUAAUUUGGUAGAAUAGUAUGCAUGGUAGUAGAGAUUUUGAUGUGAGCUAGGGCAUGACUUGACAAUUAUUGUGAAUAUACCAUAGUUUAUUGUAAAACAUUUUCUAUUCGACUAUUGGUUAGUGCAGAAUGCUGAUGCGCAUGAGUGAAUAAGCAAAUGCGCAGCUGCAGAUUUUGUUCAAUAAUCCACCUGCAGGAGUAAAAUACUAGCGCACAUCUAUGAACCUGCAUAUAACUCUGCCCGAUUAAUGUUUACUUAGAUUUAACUAAAUGUGUGGCUCCUUGAAAUUUUACCACAUGCUAGCUAGACACAUUACUUUGUCAACAGUUAGUUUUGUUAUGUCCUAGAUUGCCAAAAUGAAAAACAUAGGUUGAUCGAGAUUUAACCUUUACUUCUACUUUGUUUCAUUUAAAAUAUUUGAAGUCCAUAUUUUAGUUCUUGAAAUAGUUUACAUGGAUUAUUUUCAUGUCCCUACUAUGUUAUCAUAGGGGUCUCCAUAUUAUCCCAUUGAAUAUGAAAAAGUUUACUAAAUGUAUGUUUGGAUGUGCCAAUCUUUUGCACAAUGGAAGCAUUCCGACUUUCUCAACUCUGAACAUGGAACUGCUUUACUUCUACUGAACAUUUUGUUUCUUCUGUCGCAGGGCGCCAAGCCCAUACAUGAGAGUGGGGAGCCUAGGGUGUAGGGUCCUUGCCGUCCGGCAGCACGCCACAGCUCGGGACGGCUUCUUGAACGCCGACCUCACCCAGAUCGAGACCAUAAGCUUGCAAAGGACACAGGUGUUGUGACUUCUGAUGAUACACAUGCGUUAACCAUCAAUCUUUUGGAAUCAAACUCCUACUUUGGAACGGAACCAUCUCAAGUGAAAAUACUAAAGCAGGUUAUUUCUAAUUCCCUAUUCUUUUCAUUUGCCUAUUAGGAUAAAGAUGUUGGCCUGUGCAAUGUACCUUACACAAGCAGGAAAGCUUCACUUCAAAAAAAAAAAAAGAAGACACAAGCAGGCACUCUGUUAAAUUCCUGCUUACCUCUUCGACAAUUUUCUUCCUUUGCACUUUGAAGAUGCAUGCCACAGUGAUAAAAUAGAAAGAUAAGUACAGGAAGUAUUGCCUAUGGAGGGGCUCUGACAUUAAUGACCGAAAGCCACCAAAAGCUGCUUGUCCAAUGGUUUGCAAGUAAAAAAAAAGGAGGUUUGGGGUGUUCUGAAUUUAACUACCCAAUAUGAAGCCAAACUGUGCAUUCAAGGAUUGUGCAUUCAACUAUCCUUUGUUGAGAGAAGAAAACAAAACAACUAGCCUGGAUGGAACUUGAAAAGCUCCCUCUGCCCAUGUACAUGUGCAUCUCUAGGCUCUAGCUGUACUGUUGGCUAGCAAUAUGUUUAUCUCAUUGUACUAUUGCAUGAUUAGCCUGAAAAUCCUGUGCCUGCAGCCUUGGCAAGCUGCGAAGACUAUUAGCAGUGGAGAUCCCUUCCCCUGCAUUCACCUAUGACCUAUUGUUGUUUUACUUCAUUGGGUAUGUACAUUGUAGCAUGUUAUGGACAUUGCUUGAACUUUGUAUCAUGGCCUGAGGUUCAAUUUUGCAGCCACUUUGCAUCAUUGACUUCAACUCAAUCGCCUCAAAACCUCAACAUAUGAUGGACAGGACACCCUGUGCAUUCACUAUUUAGGUUGAGGAGUUUUGAGGAUAAGAGAUUACUGGCCAUGCUUAUAGUUCAUUGCUUGCAAGUGAUCUGCUAAAGCUCCCGUAGCAACACAGGGGCAUUCAACUAGUCUUGGGAAAAGGCAGGGUACAAUGGUAAUUCUUGGAGCACGGUGCGGCUGCUUCACGCCCCCACCUGUGAUGGUGUUGGUGCCAACGAAUUCGAGUGGCUUCAUCGUCGUGCUCAUCGAAAGAUCAGCUGGUGGUGGUGCGUCGAGGAGCGAGCUAGCAUUUUGCUGCAUGGUCUCAUUUUUCCAUACUCCCUCUUCUCCCUUCUCUCGGGGUGCGAGUCGAGUUGGAUGUGAGGCUUGCAAGUUGAGUUGGGUGGGUGUGUCGGACUGCCGGUGCACGGUGCGCCGGGGAGGAAAUGGGCCGCCAGGCGCUUGCGUUGGGUGCGCCAUCACUUGAAAAGGAUAUAAAAACUUCCCUGAUUGAUGGACUGUCUUUGAAGAUGUCGGUUGCUUUUAGCAUCUUUUUUAUUGGUAUAUCACUCAGCCCCUUAAGAACUGUGAUGCACUUCUUAAUACUGAAGGGAUUCUCCAGCUUCUCCUAUAUAGAUGUAAAUCGCUCAAUCUCUUCCCCUUUCCCUUCAGUAUUACGUGGAUGGAUUGUGUGUAGUGUGUAAGCGUUGGGUGGAGUGUGUGUAGUUUUUUUUGUAAGCACUGGGUGGAGUGUGUGUAGUUUUUUUAGUAAGGACGGGUGGAGUCAAAUACUCUUCUGUACCAUUCUUUUGAACCUUCGAGAAGUACUUUUGUGUAUGGCGCCUAA